GGACCCGUGGUCUAGGGGUUAUGACGUCGCCUUCACACGGCGGAGGUCGCCGGUUCAAAUCCGGCCGGGUCCACCA
rnacentral:tRNA from 1 species